rnacentral:tRNA from 1 species
AGCUCGGUAGCUAAGUUGGUAAAGCUUUCGUCUAGCAUACAAGAGUCGUGGGUUCGAAUUCCAUCUGAACAC